GGAUGGAUGGCCGAGCGGUUUAAGGCGAUAGUUUUGAAAACUGUUGUAUUUAAUAGAUACCGUGGGUUCGAAUCCCACUCUGUCCUA
rnacentral:tRNA from 1 species